rnacentral:misc_RNA from 1 species
UUUCCGUAGGUGAACCUGCGGAAGGAUCAUUACCGAGUGUAGGGUUCCUAGCGAGCCCAACCUCCCACCCGUGUUUACUGUACCUUAGUUGCUUCGGCGGGCCCGCCAUUCAUGGCCGCCGGGGGCUCUCAGCCCCGGGCCCGCGCCCGCCGGAGACACCACGAACUCUGUCUGAUCUAGUGAAGUCUGAGUUGAUUGUAUCGCAAUCAGUUAAAACUUUCAACAAUGGAUCUCUUGGUUCCGGCAUCGAUGAAGAACGCAGC